UCAAACACAGCAGCAGGGAGGAAUGAUCAAUUGGAAUCGACUUUUCCCUCCUUUACGUCAGCGACGAAAUAUAAACUAUCAGGAAGGUCGGCGGGCUGAACA